CUUCCAGUAGCACCUUAGAGACCAACUAAGUUUGUUAUUGGUAUGAGCUUUCAUGUGUAUGCGCACGAAAUCUCAUACCAAUAACAAACUUAGUUGGUCUCUAAGGUGCUACUGGAAG